AGCGAACGCUGGCGGCAGGCUUAACACAUGCAAGUCGAGCGGGCCCUUCGGGGUCAGCGGCAGACGGGUGAGUAACACGUGGGAACGUACCCUUUGGUUCGGAAUAACGCUGGGAAACUAGCGCUAAUACCGGAUACGCCCUUUUGGGGAAAGGCUUGCUGCCGAAGGAUCGGCCCGCGUCUGAUUAGCUAGUUGGUGGGGUAAUGGCCUACCAAGGCGACGAUCAGUAGCUGGUCUGAGAGGAUGAUCAGCCACACUGGGACUGAGACACGGCCCAGACUCCUACGGGAGGCAGCAGUGGGGAAUAUUGGACAAUGGGCGCAAGCCUGAUCCAGCCAUGCCGCGUGAGUGAUGAAGGCCUUAGGGUUGUAAAGCUCUUUUGUCCGGGACGAUAAUGACGGUGCCGGAAGAAUAAGCCCCGGCUAACUUCGUG
rnacentral:rRNA from 1 species